rnacentral:Y_RNA from 1 species
AGCUGCUCUGAAGGUAGUGAGUUAUCUCAGUUGAUUGUUCACAGUCAGUUACAGAUCGAACUCCUUGUUCUACUCCUUCCCGUCUUCUCACUAUUGCACUUGAGUAGUCUUUA